ACUUUGAAGGUCUAUAAAUAGAGAAAGCCAAACAACAUGAUAUUCACUUCACUCUGCGAUCAUCUCUUACCUCAUAAUUCUAUUCUAUCACCUCGAUUUGUUAAUUAUAAGCAAACAUGGCGUCCUCAAAAACUUUUCUUCUACUAGGUCUUGACUGAGACAGCUCCUACUCAAACCCAGGAGAGCGUUGAAAAGGCCACCUAUGGUGAUCAUUAUCACGGAUACGAGCAUAAACAUGGAUACGGGCACGGACAUGGAGGGCAUGAGCAUGGCUAUGGACAUUGGGAACAUGGCCAUGUUAGCAUAGAAAUCACAAACUCCAAGACCAAAACAUGAACUACAACUUGGAGAGAAAUAUCCAGUUUAUGUAUAUGAGAAAACCAGCAAGAAGAGCAAACCUGCACCAGUUGCAGAACCGAAGCCAUGGCAGCAAGCUUUCAGUGUGCCUUCUCUUCUCUCGCAGAUUAUCAAGAGCUUGACUUACAAAUAGGUUAAGUCCAAAUAUGAGCAUUAGCCCUAUGAGAAGAGAGGCCACUAUAUAUAUACAUAUAAUCUUUACCAUAACAGAUUAGGAUUCCCUAUUAAAAUCCAUAUAGGAUACAAAUGCUUGUUUCCUUGUACUGAUCUUAAUGCUAUACAAAAUCCUGCUUUGACAAGGAUUAGCAUUCCUUUUAUCAACAAGACUCUUCUAUCAAA